rnacentral:rRNA from 1 species
GUCUGAGUAUAAACUUUUAAAAAGUGAAACCGCGAAUGGCUCAUUACAUCAGUUAUGGUUCCUUAGAUCUCCGGUUUUCUACUCGGAUAACCCUGGAAAAUCUAUGGCUAAUACGUUAAAAAGUAGCUCCAACCCUUUGGGAAGGAGCGUUCUUGUUAGAUCAAAACCAAUCGGGGCUUCGGCUCCGUUUACUGGUGAAUCUAAACAAUUUUGAGCAGAUCGCACGGUCUUGUACUGGCGACGACUCUUUCAAAUAUCUGCCUUAUCAACUCGAUGGUAGGUUAUGUGCCUACCAUGGUUGUAACGGGUAACGGAAAAUCAGGGUUUGAUACCGGAGAGGGAGCCUGAGAAACGGCUACCACAUCCAAGGAAGGCAGCAGGCACGCAAAUUACCCAAUCCCGGCUCGGGGAGGUAGUGACGAAAAAUAACAAUACGGGACUCAUCCGAGGCCCCGUAAUUGGAAUGACUACAAUUUAAAUCCUUUAAGAAGGAUCCAUUGGAGGGCAAGUCUGGUGCCAGCAGCCGCGGUAAUUCCAGCUCCAAUAGCGUAUAUUAAAGUUGCUGCAGUUAAAAAGCUCGUAGUUGGAUCUCAGUUACAGUCAGGUGGUUCACUUUACAGUGCUACUGCUUGAACUGAACCUAUUGCUGGAUCUCUUGGGUGCCCUUCACUGGGUGCCCCUUGAGACCAGAACGUUUACUUUGAGAAAAUUAGAGUGCUCAAAGCAGGCGAAUGCCUGGAUACUUGUGCAUGGAAUAAUGAAAUAUGG